rnacentral:rRNA from 1 species
GAUGAACGCUGGCGGCGUGCCUAAUACAUGCAAGUCGAGCGAACGGACGAGAAGCUUGCUUCUCUGAUGUUAGCGGCGGACGGGUGAGUAACACGUGGAUAACCUACCUAUAAGACUGGGAUAACUUCGGGAAACCGGAGCUAAUACCGGAUGAUAUUUUGAACCGCAUGGUUCAAAAGUGAAAGACGGUCUUGCUGUCACUUAUAGAUGGAUCCGCGCUGCAUUAGCUAGUUGGUAAGGUAACGGCUUACCAAGGCAACGAUGCAUAGCCGACCUGAGAGGGUGAUCGGCCACACUGGAACUGAGACACGGUCCAGACUCCUACGGGAGGCAGCAGUAGGGAAUCUUCCGCAAUGGGCGAAAGCCUGACGGAGCAACGCCGCGUGAGUGAUGAAGGUCUUCGGAUCGUAAAACUCUGUUAUUAGGGAAGAACAUAUGUGUAAGUAACUGUGCACAUCUUGACGGUACCUAAUCAGAAAGCCACGGCUAGCUACGU